GUUUCUGUGGUGUAGUGGUUAUCACAUCCGCUAAACACGCGGAAGGUCCCAGGUUCGAACCCUGGCAGAAACA
rnacentral:tRNA from 1 species